rnacentral:rRNA from 1 species
GAUGAACGCUGGCGGCGUGCCUAAUACAUGCAAGUCGAGCGAACGGACGAGAAGCUUGCUUCUCUGAUGUUGGCGGCGGACGGGUGAGUAACACGUGGAUAACCUACCUAUAAGACUGGGAUAACUUCGGGAAACCGUAGCUAAUACCGGAUAAUAUUUUGAACCGCAUGGUUCAAAAGUGAAAGACGGUCUUGCUGUCACUUAUAGAUGGAUCCGCGCUGCAUUAGCUAGUUGGUAAGGUAACGGCUUACCAAGGCAACGAUGCAUAGCCGACCUGAGAGGGUGAUCGGCCACACUGGAACUGAGACACGGUCCAGACUCCUACGGGAGGCAGCAGUAGGGAAUCUUCCGCAAUGGGCGAAAGCCUGACGGAGCAACGCCGCGUGAGUGAUGAAGGCCUUCGGAUCGUAAAACUCUGUUAUUAGGGAAGAACAUAUGUGUAAGUAACUGUGCACAUCUUGACGGUACCUAAUCAGAAAGCCACGGCUAACUACGUG